UGGAUUGGGCAGUCGCCGGGGCGCGGUUUACCGUGUCCGGGAGGAAAGUCCGAGCCCCAUAGAGCAGGAUAACGGCUAACGGCCGCCGGGGGUGACCCCAGGGAGAGUGCAACAGAAAUAAACCGCCUCUUUUGAGGUAAGGGUGGAAAGGCGAGGUAAGAGCUCACCGGUGCGGCGGAGACGUCUGCACGCUCUGUAAACCCUAUCCGGAGCAACACCGAUUUGCAUAGGCUUGCUCGGCCGCUUUAAAGCAGAAGGGUGGCUAAAGCUUCACAGCAAUGUGAAGAUUAGAUAGAUGAUUGCCUUAAAAGACAGAACUCGGCUUACAGAUCCU
rnacentral:RNase_P_RNA from 1 species